UGGGAACGUGCCUUUUGGUUCGGAACAACACAGGGAAACUUGGGCUAAUACCGGAUAAGCCCUUACGGGGAAAGAUUUAUCGCCAAAAGAUCGGCCCGCGUCUGAUUAGCUAGUUGGUGGGUAAUGGCCCACCAAGGCUACGAUCAGUAGCUGGUCCGAGAGGAUGACCAGCCACAUUGGGACUGAGACACGGCCCAGACUCCUACGGGAGGCAG
rnacentral:rRNA from 1 species